AUUGAACGCUGGCGGCAGGCCUAACACAUGCAAGUCGAGCGAGCGGCGGACGGGUGAGUAAUGUCUGGGAAACUGCCUGAUGGAGGGGGAUAACUACUGGAAACGGUAGCUAAUACCGCAUACCAUCAGAUGUGCCCAGAUGGGAUUAGUUAGUAGGUGGGGUAACGGCCCACCUAGGCGACGAUCCCUCGCUGGUCUGAGAGGAUGAACCGCCAUACUGGAACUGCGACACGGUUCAGACCCCUACUGGAUGCAGCAGUGGGGAAUAUUGCACACUGGGCUAAGGCCUGAGACAGCCAUGCCGCGUGUGUGAAGAAGGCCUUGGGGUUUUAAAGCCCUUUCGGCGGAGAGGCGUUACCCGCAGAAGAAGCACCGGCUAACUCCGUGCCAGCAGCCGCGGUAAUAC
rnacentral:rRNA from 1 species